rnacentral:rRNA from 1 species
GAUGAACGCUAGCGGCAGGCCUAAUACAUGCAAGCUGAACGGUAAAUGUUAUAGCAAUAUGAUAUGAGAGUAGCGUAAGGGUGCGUAACACGUAUGCAAUCUGCCCGCAACAGGAGGAUAGCUCCCCGAAAGGGGAAUUAAUACUCCAUAAUAUCACGAGAGGGCAUCUGAUUGUGAUUAAACUCCAAGGGGUUGCGGAUGAGCAUGCGUCUGAUUAGUUAGUUGGUGAGGUAACGGCUCACCAAGACGAUGAUCAGUAGGGGAACUGAGAGGUUGAUCCCCCAAACUGGCACUGAGAUACGGGCCAGACUCCUACGGGAGGCAGCAGUAGGGAAUAUUGGUCAAUGGGUGAGAGCCUGAACCAGCCAUGCCGCGUGCAGGAAGACGGCCUUCUGGGUUGUAAACUGCUUUUGUCAGGGGAUAAAAUACCCGUGCGCGGGGAAUUGAAGGUACCUGAUGAAUAAGCCACGGCUAACUACGUGCCAGCCGCCGCCGUAACAC